CAGGUCUGUGAUGCCCUUAGAUGUCCGGGGCUGCACGCGCGCUACACUGACUGGCUCAGCGUGUGCCUACCCUACGCCGGCAGGCGCGGGUAACCCGUUGAACCCCAUUCGUGAUGGGGAUCGGGGAUUGCAAUUAUUCCCCAUGAACGAGGAAUUCCCAGUAAGUGCGGGUCAUAAGCUUGCGUUGAUUAAGUCCCUGCCCUUUGUACACACCGCCCGUCGCUACUACCGAUUGGAUGGUUUAGUGAGGCCCUUGGAUC
rnacentral:rRNA from 1 species